CCUCACAGACACUGUUUUUUUGGAAAAUGAUAUUAGGGUUGCGAUAUGGAACCUAGAUGCAGCUAGGUAACCCACUUUUCCCUUCCUCUCUCUCCUUUUUUUAUAUAUACACCCCUUCCAUAUCUUUCUCUACAGAAAUGCCAUGCGCACCAUUGCAGCUCAUUCUCUAGCUUCAUAACGUAAAUCCCCACGAGGGGGCGAUCGAAACAGAUGGCUCUUUCACUAUGCACGAUUCUUUUGCAUGUUAACGUUGAUCCCCAUGAGGAGGCGAUCGUUACAGAUGGCUCUUUCAUUAUGCUAUUUAUGAUUCUUGACUUUCUUUCUGCUUCACUUGGUAGACCCACGGAGGUCACAGUGGAUUUGUGUGCUCUCAUUCUUAUUCUUACUUUCUUUUUGUUACUGUGUUGUUCUGUUAUCAAAUUUUGUUAAGUUGGUAUUUGUUUCUGUAUGCUGGCAUAUGCAUGAUGUUGAGAGAUUUUCAAUCCAUAGCUUUAGUAUCAGUUUUUCUGAGUGGCUAACAGUGGUUAUUAAUAGUAUUGUACUCUUUUGAUGGUAAGGGUUUCUUUUGAUUGCUAACAAUAAAUUUUGAUAUGAUAUGGGUUUCUUUUGAUUACUAACAAUAAAUAUUGAUAGUAUGGGUUUCUUUUGAUGGCUUACACUGGACUGGCGUUUUAAUGCUCUGGUAUGUUUUUUAGAUGUUAAGUGAGUCAAUGAUUUGGAUGUUUCAUAGAGUUAGUGUUGAUGUUUUAAAUGUGUUAGAACUAUCUUGUAUUGAAUAUUAUUCUGGUAAUUAAAAACUCUGAGUUUUUUCUUUAAUCAGACUCGGACCAUUAUAUCCACAGCACUCACUUAUCCUCGGUACAUUCCACUUCAUUUUAGGAUAUAUUUCUUCCGACUUUAAAUAAAUAGAAGAGAUUAUAGUUUCUAUGAGAUGAUGGGCAUAGAGAAUUUAGUUUUGGACUGUCUUUAUUUGAUUUUGUUGUAUCUGAACCAAAAUGGGUAGAUAGGAAUAUUGUUUCUGUUAUGUUGGUUGUAGACAAUUCAAUCUUGGGCUAUAUUACAGUUUUUUUUGGGUAUUUCGGGCAAAUGGGUAUGCAUAAUUACUGUUCCGUUGAUUGCAGGAAAGUCAUCAUUGAGCUGUCAGGUUGUCUUUUUUGGUUUUUUUUUUUUAAUUUAUGACAAAUGAGUAAUAUAAUUACUGUUUCUUUUAUGUCCGUGAGAAUUAAGUUUUGGGCGGUCUUGAGAUGUUGGAGCGGUUCAACCAGACAACUUUAUUAUGACAUAUCAUAAUUUUGCUGUCUGUUUGAGCCGUGCCAAUAUCGCACUAGACGUGCUCCACUCAUGGUCGCCGUUUAACUAGCCUGUUACAAUUUAUUCUCUUCUCUUUUCAUUUGUUUCUGAUUAAUGGAGGAAUCGAUAAGCACUGGACUGCACUGCAUAUUCAUUGCAGAUUCAGUGCUUGCAAUAAUGGAUAUGGCAUCUUCUACAAGGGUUUUAGGGUUGGGGAAUUGAUAGCAGAAGAAGAAAGGUGGGGCAGGGGAGUAAAGGGAGACAGGUGGAGCAUUUAAGAAGUGGUGUCGGGAGCCAGAGGGUGCCUUUAUUGCUUUCACGCGCUACCCAUCUCCAUGGAAAGACUCGCUACCAACCACUCAGACCUCUGCUUCAAAAGCAUGUUUUGAAUCAUCUAUAUUUCUCUACGCUCUUAGCAUCAAUUAAUUCCUCAUUUAUUGUUGGAAUUUAUUUGAUGAGAUCAAUUUUACAUGUACGCAAAUUGUUGUAUUUAAUGGUAUUUGAACGACUUUUUUACA